CUCACCAGCUGAGUCUUAGAGGCUCCUUUGAAGAGCUGAUUUCAGGCAGGCAAAUUGCCCCCCAGGAGGGACUCUGUGCCUGCUCUCCCGUGGCUCCAAGGGAUCUCUGGCCCUUCACGCCGGCACCGAGAUUUUCUCGGGAAGGGCCUCAGAUCCCCGGACCAGUCUGGGACACAGGCAAGAUCCCCCUGCAUUUUGGGACCAAAUUGGCCCCUGGAGGGACAGUGCUGUUGGUGCCCCCCGGGUUGGGGCACCCCGAGGACUCCAGCGCGCACCGAAAGGAUUAUUCGGGGAGAUCCUCGGGGUGCCCGGCCCUGGGGAGCUCAAAGCAAGGUCCCUGCCAUGGAUUCAGGCAUUGCUGAGAGUAUCCCAGGGGUCCCUGUCCCUGCUAGACAGGGAGCUCUCUAAUGGGCUGUAAUUGGGUUCUAAAAGUGGUGCUCCAAGUGCCAAACAAGUGUGGGAUUGGGAUUAAGAAAUGAGCAGUGAGGGUGCAAUUGGCUGUUUUCUCUGGAAUGUGACUGUGAGAGCUGCAGGAGUGCCAGGUGUGUGUUCCAGUCCCCAGCAUUUGGUUUGCACAUGUCCUGCUCAGACACAAGUACAAUUUCCUCAGUCCUGAACACAGCAGAAUGAGAAUUAUGGACUGGCAGUGUUAAGGUGAUUGGUGUGACAGGGGUCAAACUGGGAAAACAUUGGGGAAUUCCUCAGUUUGUGUUUUUGCCAAACUCACCCAAACCUCUGCUAGGAAGUGAUGGGCUGGAAAAGUUGAGGCAGAAAUGGAAUUGAAAACUGGGGCUCUUGACACUGUAAUUGCUGAAACUAAAUGUGUCCAAGCAGCAGCUCUUGUUGUGCAGGGAAUAACUCCUGUCAGCAGCAAGGCCCUGACUGAAGUGGCAGCUGCAGUUGUUCCUGUGGUGUGGGCCAGUGGAGCUGCAGGAGAGUGGAAGAGGGCAGAACCUGUAGGUAUUACCCCUGAUGUGGGAUCUCUAUGGGACGUGAAUGCAAGAACCUGCCAAGAAAACCAGUGGACAAGAUGAUUGAUUAGUGCAGGACCUGAGAGAAGCACCUUGAAUGACAACCUGGAGGAGUUUCCAGUAUUGGAUUUAAAAGAUGGCCUUUGCAUCUCCUUGAGCAAGGAAAGCCAAGAAAGCUUUGCUUUUGCAGGAGAAAAUGGGGCAAGCAGGCAGGAAGAAGAGAAGCCCCGUGACUCCUCCCUGAGCCCCAGACAGCCCAUGAACUGCCUUGCUGGGAAUGGUGGGACGGGCUGGACUCUGCAUUGCUCCCUCGGGAUGUGUGGCUCUCCCCUCAGGAACUGCAGGAACUCCUGGUGCCGCCUGGGCCGAUGGAUUGGACGCCCCAGCCCCUCCGUUCCUGCCCGGCCACUGGGGCCGUGUCCAGUGGUGGCACUGCCAGCCCUGCAGUGGGAUGGAGCCUGGAAAGUGCACAGAGCUGAGCCCAGGGAUUGAAAGGGACCAAGCAAG